GGUUAAGCAAGUAAGAGCGCACGGUGGAUGCCUAGGCACCAGGAGCCGAUGAAGGACGUGACGAACCACGAUAGUGCUUCGGGGAGCUGUAAGUGAGCGUUGAUCCGGAGAUUUCCGAAUGGGGCAACCCAGCUGGAUUCAUACCCAGUUACCGAUCGAGUGAAUUCAUAGCUCGACGGAGGCAGACCGGGGGAACUGAAACAUCUAAGUACCCCGAGGAAGAGAAAACAAUAGUGAUUCCGUCAGUAGCGGCGAGCGAACGCGGAUUAGCCCAAACCAGAAAGCUUGCUUUCUGGGGUUGUAGGACGUCUCACAUGGAGUGANNNNNNNNNNNNNNNNNNNNNNNNNNNNNNNNNNNNNNNNNNNNNNNNNNNNNNNNNNNNNNNNNNNNNNNNNNNNNNNNNNNNNNNNNNNNNNNNNNNNUGGGGUUGUAGGACGUCUCACAUGGAGUGACAAAGGGGUUUGGUAGGCGAAGAGGUUUGGAACGACCCGCCAGAGCAGGUGAUAGCCCUGUAGCUGAAAUUAAGCCCCCUCCGAGACGGAUCCUGAGUAGUGCGGGGCACGUGAAACCCCGUAUGAAUCCGGCAGGACCAUCUGCCAAGGCUAAAUACUCCCUGGUGACCGAUAGCGAAGCAGUACCGUGAGGGAAAGGUGAAAAGGACCUCGGAAGAGGAGUGAAAUAGAACCUGAAACCGUGCGCUUACAAAAAGUCAGAGCCCAAUUAAGGGGUGAUGGCGUGCCUUUUGUAGAAUGAACCGGCGAGUUACGUUUGCAUGCAAGGUUAAGGUGAGAAGCCGGAGCCGUAGCGAAAGCGAGUCUGAAUAGGGCGAUUUGAGUAUGUAGGCGUAGACCCGAAACCGGGUGAUCUACCCCUGUCCAGGGUGAAGGUGCGGUAACACGCACUGGAGGCCCGAACCCACGUACGUUGAAAAGUGCGGGGAUGAGGUGGGGGUAGCGGAGAAAUUCCAAUCGAACCCGGAGAUAGCUGGUUCUCCCCGAAAUAGCUUUAGGGCUAGCCUCGGAUAUGCGAGUUGUGGAGGUAGAGCACUGAUUGGGUGCGGGGUCCGCGAGGAUUACCAAGCUCAGUCAAACUCCGAAUGCCAUCAACUUAGAUCCGGGAGUCAGACAGUGAGUGCUAAGAUCCAUUGUCAAAAGGGAAACAGCCCAGACCAUCGGUUAAGGUCCCCAAGUGUGUGUUAAGUGGGAAAGGAUGUGGAGUUGCCCAGACAACCAGGAUGUUGGCUUAGAAGCAGCCACCAUUUAAAGAGUGCGUAAUAGCUCACUGGUCGAGUGACUCUGCGCCGAAAAUGUAACGGGGCUAAACACACCACCGAAACCAUGGCUUGAUGCUUGCAUCAGGGGUAGGGGAGCGUUGUAUAAGGGUUGAAGGUGUACCGUAAGGAGCGCUGGACAUUAUACAAGUGAGAAUGCCGGUAUGAGUAACGAAAAGAUCAGUGAGAAUCUGAUCCGCCGAAAACCCAAGGAUUCCUGAGGAAGGCUCGUCCGCUCAGGGUUAGUCGGGACCUAAGGCGAGGCCGAAAGGCGUAGUCGAUGGACAACAGGUUGAUAUUCCUGUACCGCCGUAAACCGUUACGAGCAAUGGAGUGACGCAGGAGGGAAGGGACGCGGACUGAUGGAAUAGUCCGUCCAAGUACCAAGUUUUGUUAGUAGGCAAAUCCGCUAACUUUAAGGACAAGGUGCGAUGGGGAGCGAAAAUUACAGUAGCGAAGGUCCUGGGCUCACACUGCCAAGAAAAGCUUCUAGCCAGGUGAAGGCGCCCGUACCGCAAACCGACACAGGUGGGUGGGAAGAGUAUUCUAAGGCGCGCGGAAGAACUCUCGUUAAGGAACUCGGCAAAAUGACCCCGUAACUUCGGGAGAAGGGGUGCCCCGGUAGUGUGAAUAGCACGAGGGGGCCGCAGUGAAAAGGCCCAAGCGACUGUUUAGCAAAAACACAGGUCUGUGCGAAGCCGCAAGGCGAAGUAUACGGGCUGACGCCUGCCCGGUGCUGGAAGGUUAAGAGGAGGGGUUAGCGGCAACGCGACGCUCUGAAUUGAAGCCCCAGUAAACGGCGGCCGUAACUAUAACGGUCCUAAGGUAGCGAAAUUCCUUGUCAGGUAAAUUCUGACCCGCACGAAUGGCGUAACGACUUGGGCGCUGUCUCAACGAGAGAUCCGGUGAAAUUUUAAUACCUGUGAAGAUGCAGGUUACCCGCGACAAGACGGAAAGACCCCAUGGAGCUUUACUGUAACUUGAUAUUGGACUGGGGUGCGAUUUGUACAGGAUAGGUGGGAGCCUUAGAGCUCGGAGCGCCAGCUUCGAGGGAGGCGCCGUUGGGAUACCACCCUGAUCGCAUGCUAGUUCUAACCUCGUACCGUUACCCGGUACAGGGACCGUGUCAGGUGGACAGUUUGACUGGGGCGGUCGCCUCCUAAAAUGUAACGGAGGCGCCCAAAGGUUCCCUCAGAAUGGUUGGAAAUCAUUCGCAGCGUGUAAAGGCAUAAGGGAGCUUGACUGCGAGACGGACAGGUCGAGCAGGGACGAAAGUCGGGCUUAGUGAUCCGGUGGUACCGCAUGGAAGGGCCAUCGCUCAACGGAUAAAAGCUACCCUGGGGAUAACAGGCUUAUCUCCCCCAAGAGUCCACAUCGACGGGGAGGUUUGGCACCUCGAUGUCGGCUCAUCGCAUCCUGGGGCUGAAGUAGGUCCCAAGGGUUGGGCUGUUCGCCCAUUAAAGCGGUACGCGAGCUGGGUUCAGAACGUCGUGAGACAGUUCGGUCCCUAUCUGUCGUGGGCGUUGGAAAUUUGAGAGGAGCUGUCCUUAGUACGAGAGGACCGGGAUGGACGCACCGCUGGUGUACCAGUUGUUCCGCCAGGAGCAUCGCUGGGUAGCUACGUGCGGAAGGGAUAAACGCUGAAAGCAUCUAAGCGUGAAGCCCCCCUCAAGAUGAGAUUUCCCACUUAAUUGGUAAGACCCCUUGAAGACGACGAGGUUGAUAGGCUGGAGGUGGACGCGCAGCAAUGUGUGGAGCUGACCAGUACUAAUCGGUCGAGGGCUUAUCCAA
rfam:Saccharibacillus sacchari DSM 19268 genomic scaffold SacsacDRAFT_Scaffold1.1, whole genome shotgun sequence.